rnacentral:rRNA from 1 species
CCUACGGGUGGCAGCAGUGAGGAAUAUUGGUCAAUGGACGAGAGUCUGAACCAGCCAAGUAGCGUGAAGGAUGACUGUCCUAUGGGUUGUAAACUUCUUUUAUAUGGGAAUAAAAUGUUCCACGUGUGGGAUUUUGUAUGUACCAUAUGAAUAAGGAUCGGCUAACUCCGUGCCAGCAGCCGCGGUAAUACGGAGGAUCCGAGCGUUAUCCGGAUUUAUUGGGUUUAAAGGGAGCGUAGGUGGAUUGUUAAGUCAGUUGUGAAAGUUUGCGGCUCAACCGUAAAAUUGCAGUUGAAACUGGCAGUCUUGAGUACAGUAGAGGUGGGCGGAAUUCGUGGUGUAGCGGUGAAAUGCUGAGAUAUCACGAAGAACUCCGAUUGCGAAGGCAGUUCACUGGACUGCAACUGACACUGAGGCUCGAAAGUGUGGGUAUCAAACAGGAUUAGAUACCCUUGUAGUC